rnacentral:rRNA from 1 species
AUUGAACGCUGGCGGCAGGCUUAACACAUGCAAGUCGAGCGGAGAGAGGUAGCUUGCUACUGAUCUUAGCGGCGGACGGGUGAGUAAUGCUUAGGAAUCUGCCUAUUAGUGGGGGACAACAUUUCGAAAGGAAUGCUAAUACCGCAUACGUCCUACGGGAGAAAGAAGGGGAUCUUCGGCCCUCGCGCUAAUAGAUGAGCCUAAGUCGGAUUAGCUAGUUAGUGGGGUAACGGCCUACCAAGGCGACGAUCUGUAGCGGGUCUGAGAGGAUGAUCCGCCACACUGGGACUGAGACACAGCCCAGACUCCUACGGGAGGCAGCAGUGGGGAAUAUUGGACAAUGGGCGGAAGCCUGAUCCAGCCAUGCCGCGUGUGUGAAGAAGGCCUUAUGGUUGUAAAGCACUUUAAGCGAGGAGGAGGCUACUUUAGUUAAUACCUAGAGAUAGUGGACGUUACUCGCAGAAUAAGCACCGGCUAACUCUGUGCCAGCCGCCGCGGUAA